AGUAAUGUAUGGGGAUCUGCCUGAUGGCGGGGGGUAACUACUGGAAACGGUAGCUAAUACCGCAUAAUGUCUGCGGACCAAAGACGGGGGACCGUCCGGGGCCCUCGCGCCAUCAGAUGAACCCAUAUGGGAUUAGCUAGUAGGUAAGGUAACGGCUUACCUAGGCGACGAUCCCUAGCUGGUCUGAGAGGAUGAUCAGCCACACUGGGACUGAGACACGGCCCAG
rnacentral:rRNA from 1 species